rnacentral:rRNA from 1 species
GAUGAACGCUGGCGGCGUGCCUAACACAUGCAAGUCGAACGGAACUUUUACGGAUUGAGACUUCGGUUGAUUGAAGUUUAAGUUUAGUGGCGGACGGGUGAGUAACGCGUGAGUAACCUGCCUUUCACAGGGGGAUAACGUUUGGAAACGAACGCUAAUACCGCAUAACGUAGCGGGGUCGCAUGGCUCUGCUACCAAAGAUUUUAUCGGUGAGAGAUGGACUCGCGUCCGAUUAGGUAGUUGGUGAGGUAACGGCCACCAAGCCGACGAUCGGUAGCCGGACUGAGAGGUUGAACGGCCACAUUGGGACUGAGACACGGCCCAGACUCCUACGGGAGGCAGCAGUGGGGAAUAUUGCACAAUGGGCGCAAGCCUGAUGCAGCAACGCCGCGUGAGGGAAGACGGUUUUCGGAUCGUAAAGCCCUGUCUUUUGGGACGAGUAAUGACGGUACCAAAGGAGGAAGCCACGGCUAACUACGUG